CGCGUAGGCGGCCAGAUCAGUCGGGUGUGAAAGCCCGGGGCUCAACCCCGGAACGGCACCCGAGACGGUUUGGCUGGAGACCGGGAGAGGAGGGUGGAAUAGCCAGUGUAGAGGUGAAAUUCGUAGAUAUUGGCUGGAACACCGGUGGCGAAAGCGGCUCUCUGGCCCGGUUCUGACGCUGAGGCGCGAAAGCGUGGGGAGCAAACA
rnacentral:rRNA from 1 species